rnacentral:lncRNA from 1 species
AAACACUCCUACCCUCCCUUAGAGCUCACUUUGGUAAUAUUAAUGUUUAACCGGUUAGCAAAAUUAACACCAUUAUUUCAAUAGCUACUCUGUUGUGCAUAGUAAAUGCUGCAAGAUGAACAUCACAUUUGGUGAAGCUGGUUUGAGAAACUUUUGGGGGAAAUUGUGCCUGGCCCUCAACAGGACCCUAAGCUCAGAGAAAUGAACAGAGGCCCCUGAAACUGCUGUGUCUGCGACCAUGCGUGUGCAGCUGGAUCCCGUGGUAGCCAGCGAGACUCCACUUCCAGCAGAUGAGGUGGACAAUGAAGACAAUGAGGAUCAGGUCUGUCAGGGCGCUGCCCAUGGAAACGGGGAUCAGCAUGUUUUUCCUCCUCCAGGAGACAUUCCUCCGCGGAUCAGACCAUGCUCCUUCCACAUUGAAAGCCUGUGCUCACACUUUGAAUAUGUUGACUGAAAGACCUUCAUGAGCCGGACACGCUCCUUGGUGUUACACUUGCAGGAGUUGCCGAUGGAGGCCUGCAGUACUCUCGGAGUUGUUGGCAGCUUUAAAGAGCACUGAUGAGAAGAUGGAGAAGGACAGGAAAAAGACAGAUUCAACCUGUGGCAGAGAGACACCACAUAGAUUUUAGUUUCUCUAUUCCUGGAAUUUCACUUUGCCCCAGCUCCCCACGAAGACCAGACAAAGACUUACUGUCUCUGGAAAAGGAGUAGAAGCAAAAAGGCAAUGCUACUGGAGGAGGCCCAGAAAAGCGCUUCCUGCAUGUGCUCCUGCUUGAGUCCUAAAUUGCACAAGGCAGAUUUUUAUUACCUUGGACUUUUGGGUCUGUGUAGGGUGGGGAUGAGUGGUAGGCAGGAAAGCUAAUAAGGCUUUGAAAGUAAUCCCAGGUGCAUAAGGCCCGUCUGAGACCCGAGGCUGAAGGAGAACAGGGAAAGCUCCCCUCUACCUUAAUCUUUACAUCGCACCUUAAAUAUUUGUAAAACACAUAUCCAACUAAGGACUUGAAGCCAGAUUAUCUAAAGAACUAUUACAAAAAUAAUAAAAAUAACAAAAUAUUAAAAACUCAAUACAAGGUACCAAGAUUUGAUUGGCUGCUCCCUCACAAAUGAUGCAUAAACAGAUACAAGCACAUGAAAACAUACUUCAUAUCUUGCAUUAAGAAAACCCAAGUGAAAUCAAUGGGAUAGUGCUACAGGCUUACUUGAAUGGCUAAAAUUAAAAAAAAAAAAAAGAUUACCAAUGUGAAUACUGAGGAGGAGGUAAAGCAACUGGAACUUUUUAGACACCAUCGGUGUAAAUGCAAGUAGUACAACUACUUAGGAAGACACCACAGUUUCUUGAAAAAUUUAAUACAUAGCUCUCAAUAUAACCCAGGCAUUUUACUUCUAAGUAUUUACCCAAGAAAAAUGAAAACAUACCUUUACACAAAGGCCUCUAUUUGUAUCAACUUUCUCAUAAUCUAUUAUAAACAAUUUCCAGACUAGAAAUAAAUGAACAAAUUGCAAUUAUCUAUUUAAUGGAAUAGUGUUAACUCAUUAAUAAAAUUAAUAUGCAACAACAACGAUCUUAUAACUGAAAGAAGACAGAGAAAAGGCUACAUAGUAGAUGCUUCAUUUAUAUAACAUUCUGAAAGUGGCAAAGAGCAAGGGAAAUGAAUCAAAUCAGGAGUUGCCAGUGGCUAGAGAUUAGGGGACACUAUGGACUAUCCAGGGCACCAGGGACCACUUUAAAGUUCAGGAAACAUUUGACAUCUUCAAAUGGGUAGUCACAUAGCUACAUAUUUGAGAAAUUUAUUGAAUUAUAUACUUAAAAAUUAUGAACUUAAUUGCAUUUAAAUUGUACCUCAAUAAAACUGACUCUUAAAAAACUGUAUUGAGGAGGAUCUUGAUAUAAAUUUGUUUGAUGUGAUUAUAUAGAUGGGAAACAUUGGCAUAUUCUAUUAAUAUCAGUGUAUUUCAAUAUUCUAUUAAAAAUUCUGAUUCUGACACUUCAAAAAUAUGUUGAAUUAAAGAAUAACGAAAAUCCAAAUUUUAUGUCACAAGAUGCAGAUAUAGCAAUGAGUAGAACAAAGGAAUAGCCUUAAAAUGCAUAUGCUAGAGAAGAAAUGAGCUAAUUGUCUGUCUCAAGAUAUUAGAAAAAAAAUAGCAAAGUAAUCUCAAGAGAUUAGAAGCAAAGAAAUAAUAAUCACACAAGAAAUGAUGUAGAAAACACUCAUAAUAGAGAGAAUCAAUAAACUUAAAAUUUGGUUCUUGAACAGACUUACCAAAUUCGAAAUGGCUGUUAAAAUGGAUUAGAAAAGAAAGAAAGAGAACACUAGUCAAAAAUAACUUAAUCUAGUCAACACUGCAGACACUAUAUACAUUGAAAAUAUAAGUAGUUGUGAAUAACUUUUUAAUGGAUCUAUUCUCCAGUACAAUAAAAUUUAUCAAUAUUAAGUGUUUUGCUAAUUUUAUACAACCAUAUUAGCACUAAUGCAAUCAAUAAAUAGGAAUCAAUAAAUAGAAAACACUUCAGCCUAAAAGAUUUCCUCAAGCUCCUUUACAUAGAUCCUCUCCUCCACACCCUGCCUUAACUAUCCACUAAUCUGCUUUCUGUCAGUUUUGCAGUUCUAAAAUUUCUAUAAAUGGAAUCAUACAGAAAUUUCAUUUUAUUUGGUUUAUUUCAAUUAAUGCAAUUUUUAUAAUGUAAUGUUAAUCUAUGUUUUCUGUACAUUAAUAUUUAAUUUCUCUUUUAGCUGAAUAAUAUUUUAUGCCAUGGAUAAAUUCAAAUGUAUCUGUUCACCAAUUGGGUUUCUUCCAGUUGAGGGCUGUGACAAAGAAUAUUGUUGUAAACUUUUGUGUAUGUGUGUCUUUGCUGAAUUGUUUUCUGUUGUGUUUGUCCCUAGCACUAGAAUUUUGCUAGAACACAGUAAGGUUUAUUACAUAUCUUUGAAAUUAAUUAUGCUCCUAAAGUGGCAUAGCAUACAGAAAAAAAUGAGAGGAUAUUUUUCUAAAAGACAAAGAGAGCUUGCUGACUGUUCCAAUGACACUUUGCAUUUCCUUAGGUGAGUCACUUAAAACCUCAAUUCAACCUCCACUUGUCAAAUGAGAAAAAUAAUGAGUCCCUGCCUCGGAGGGAUGAUGUGAGGAUUUAUGACAUUAUACUGUGCAUAAAAUUGCUCUGUGCUUCUAGCAAAAAGAAUGCAAUUUAAAUACAACAAAUUAUUUUCAUAUUUUAUAUCAGCUUGCAUCUGUUUUUGUUGUGGUCUGAUUAAAUCAGUUUUAACAAAAGUUAAAAAAAUUCUAGUGCUUUUCUAAUGUUAUAUAAUAAUCCUAAUGACUCUGAAAAAAAGUACAUCCUGAAGCUAAGUCAAUAAUUACACAGUAAAAUUGUUUUACAAUUGAAAUAAUACUAAACAUGUCCAAAAAAUAUUUCCAUAAUUCAUAAACCUCAGCUUCUUACUGUGACCUAGAGGUCUUGUUGUAUAUAGAACAAAAUGACUCCUGCAGGCCACGCUUGCUGUAUAUUUGUAUGCAUACAAAAUAAUCCUUGAGAAGUGCAUUAGUUAGAUGUAUGGCAUAAUUGCAUAUAAUUGAAUUCACAUGCUUCUCUGCAAUAAAGUGGAAAUGUCCAAAAAACAAGUUAUACAUUAAUUUUCUUUUAGUUACAAUGAUAAAUUGGAACUUCAUUUUAGCACUAAAUAAUCUUCUGCAGCCUAAAAGAUGGCCAAUUGGAAGGGAAAGAGAAAGAGAAAAAUAUCAGUUAGAAGUGAUUUGGAUCACAGCAAAUAGUAUGGUUGGAGAAUAUUAAAGUUCGAGCAUCUUAAAAUUAUAAUAGCUGAAAUUUAAUAGAAUAUAGACACAACUUUGGAUAAUUAAAAGUGGAGAUGGUAGAUAUAGCAAACAGUAAUGGUAUUAAAAUAUACAUUGUGGAUUCACAAAAAUACUGAAAUCAUGAGAAUUUCAACAGAUUGCACAUUAACUAUAGUCACACAUCACAUAAUAACAUUGUGGUGAAUGGUGAACCACAUACACUUAUGAAGCUAUUUACUUUGUAGCUGUCAUAAUGUCAUAGAGCAAGACAUCACUCAGGUGUUUGUGGAGAUGGUAUAAAUAAACCUACUAUGCUGUCAGUCAUAUAGAUGUAUGGAACAUACGAUUACGUACAGUACCUAAUACUUGAUAAUAACAAUAAAUGACUAUGUUACCAGUUUAUAUAUUUACUAUAAUACACUUUUUAUCAUUAUUUGGAGUGUACGCCUUCUACUUAUUAAAAAAAAAAAAAGUCAACUGUAAAACAAUCUCAGGCAGGCCCUUCAGAAGACUUUCCAGAAGAAGGCACUGGUAUUAUAAAGGAUGACAGCUCCAUGCAUGUAAUUUCCCCUGAAGACUUUCCAGUGGUAAAACAUGUGGAGGUAGAAGAUAGUGAUAUUGAUGUUCCUGACCCUGUGUAAAUCUAGACUAAUAUGUGUGUUUGUGUCUUCAUUUUAAACAAAAUUUAAAAAGUAAAAAAAAAAAUUAAAUUAAAUUAAAAAUAGAAAAAAGCUUAUAAAGUAAUGAUAUAAAAAAUAUUUUUCUAAAGCUAUACAAAAUGUGUUUUAAGUUAAGCAUUAUUUAAAAAGUCCCAAAGUUAAAAAAAGAAAAAGUUAAUAAAGCAAAAUUUUUAGAGUAAGCUCAGAUUAAUUUAUUACUGAAGAAAGAAAUUUGUAAAUACAUUUAAUGUAGCCUAACUAGGCAGUGUUGAUAAAGUCUGCAGUAGGGUACAGUAAUGUCUUAAGCCUUCAUAUUCACUCACCACUCAUUCACUGGCUCACUCAGAGCAACAUCCAAUCCUGCAAGCUCCAUUCAGUGUAAGUGCCCUACACAGGUGUACCAUUUAUUAUCUUUUACACAGUAUGUUUACUGCCACUUUUCAAUGUUUAGAUACACUAAUAUUAACAUUGUGUUACAAUUGCCUACAGUAUUCAGUAUGGUAACAUGCUGUACAGGUUUGUAGUCUAAGAGAAAUAGGCUAUACCAUUUAGCUUAGAUGUUUAGUAGGCUAUGCCAGCUAGGUUUGUGUAAUUAACACUCUAUGAUGUUGACCCAAUGACAAAAUCCCCUACCAACACAGUUCUCAGAAUGUGUCCCUGUCAUUAAGCAAUGCAUGACUAUAGAAAGCAAAAUUAACAUAGCAAUUAUAUUCACUAAAAUGCAAUUAAAAUAAUGGCUUACACUUAUGUUAAAUCAGUAUGGCUUCAUUUAUAUUAAAGGAAUUCAGCUCAUAAAUUUACUAGAGCAAUGUUUCUUAGUAAAAGUUACACAUUAAAAUCACCUGGGAAGUAUCCCCCCAAAUUACCAAUGUCUAGACACCACCUGGGAUAUUAGAAUAAUUUGAUUCACAGUGGGGCACAGGUAUCAGUAAUUUUUAGCACCCUCUCCCCAUUGAAAUACGUAGGAUGGUAGAAUCACAGAAUACUGGAGAUAGAUUGAACUUUAAAGAAAACACGACUUGACAUUCUCCUGUGAUUUAUGUUUCACGAUUAAGUCCCAUGAUACUUAAAGUGGUGCUUAAAGUUAUGUAGUGUAAAGGUGACUCAGCCAUAAAGAAAAUGGAGCUCAUAUUCAGGAGUCAAUUUACCUGAAAUCAAACCAAUAUUGAGUGGUAAAACUAGAUUAACAGCCAAGAUCCUGGUUUCAAAAUCUUUACACUUAAUCUUCUGGCACUACCUAGUCUCUUAAUAAUACAUCUUAAUUUGGGCACUUAAUUGAUGAAACUAAUAAAAACAUUGCUAGACUAAGAAUUUCUUAGAUCUUUGAAAUGAUUCAUGUUAAAAACAAACUUUUUCAAAACCAAAAGGUGAAUAACAAUAAGUAAGAACCAUUCAUAAAAUAUCUUAGAAUAGUGCAUUUGACAUUAUGAGCAGGUCACUGUAAAGAGACAAAUAAUAAUGAUCAAAGAUAAAAAGAUCUAUCCCGAAAAAUUCAUGAGAGUGUCAAUGUGUUUGAAUGCUAUCAUAAAUCACUGCAUUGCUUCUUAUUCUUGGAAAGUAUCACCUCACAGAACAAGAAGCUGAAAGUCAGGGGGAAAGAAAAAAGAAAGAGAGAGGGAGAGAGGGAGGGAGGAAGGAAGGAAUUAGAUUUCACCCCAAAGUCACCUAAAAAUAUAAAUAUUUUCAUUUUUAUACCAUCUGGCUAUAGAUGGUGCUAUGCCAUAGUUAGAUCUUUUAUCAGGUAAAGACCCUGGUGAGCGUUUUCCCUAAGGGAGUGAGGAUUAAAUAGGAAAAUGUCAGUGCCCUAUUCAGAUAACACCAAUUUGCUGGGAAAUCUGAUAGCAUUUUAAGCACGUGGCAUUGAGAGGAGCUGCUAUGUAUGCUGUUUUAUUAAAAAAAGAAAAAAGACCAAAUCAAUAUUACAGCAAGAUGGGAAGAAGAUUAUAAAAGAAAACCAAGAAGUAUACACGAUAGUGAAAUGAAUACUUGACCAAUAUAUAUUGAGUUUAUCUCAAUUUUUAAAGAAUAAGAAUGCAAGCUAUUAAAGGUGGCAAGAAACCUGUAUAGGGCCAGGCACUAUGGCUCAUGCCUGUAAUCACAGCAAUUUAAGAAGCUGAGGUGGGAGGAUCCCUUGAGGCCAGGAGCUCAAGACCAGCUUGGGUAAUUAAGCGAGACCUCAUUACUUCAAAAAAAUAAAAGUAAUUAGCUGUGUGUGGUGGUGCACACCUGAAGUCUCAGUUACUUGGGAGGCUGAUGCAGGAGGAUAGCUUGAGCCCAGGAGUUCAAGGUUUCAGUGAGCUAUGAUUGCGCUUCUGUGUUCCAGUCUGUGUGACAGAGGAAGACCCUGUCUCAAAACAGAAAAAAAAAAAAAAAAAAAAAAAAAAAAAAACAAGAGGAAAAAAUAAACAAAACCUGACUCUCCCUGCAAUUUGCAAUCUGAGUUUGUCAGCAUCUACUCAGGUCGAAUUCUUAUAAAUUUAGGUCUCUGCUGCUGCAGCUAUUGCCCUGGAUCAAGCAAAAAUAUUCCAGGAGGCUGUGGUAUCUCCUCCUUCCUUUAAUCCUCUGGAUACUCAUCAACCUGCUGAGGUUGCUCCAUGCAGAAGGAUGUCUAAGAGGGUCAGAUUUCAGGUCAAUGUUCUGGCUUCAUCGCUUUAAUGCACAAUAUCCAAAACAGUAAUAUGAGCAGUUGCUAAUGCUUGAGAAGAAGUAACUCACAAGGCAGAUUUGCUUCAUUAAUUAUCUGCUAUUGAGCUGUUGAAGUACAAGAACAUGAGCUGUGGCUCAACCAUUGCUCCCCGCUGUGGAGUAUGUCAUGAUUUUAAGAGUAGAAGUAGGAGGAAGAGCCUGAGUGUGUGGUUAAUAAUGCAUUAAAUAGAGGUGUUGUGUCCUUGCUACCUAUGCUUUCUAUGCCAAAUAGGAUAAGAAAAAUGUAUUGAAACCAAGAAGGGAUAAGAAUAACAAUACAAAAAGGGAAUGGCAAAAGGACAAGGAAUGUAAACUGUUAGUGAAAGCAUACUCUCUAUGAAGAAUCUUUUGAAAUAAUGCAAAAUUCCUCAGGCAGUAAGUCAAAAUAAAUCAAUGUUUCUCAACAGAGGAGUGAUGCUCUCUCAGGGUAUUUUUCAAAGGCUUUUUUGCUGUUGUUGUUACCAGACCUGAAUAGGUGCUAAUGGCAUCCAGUUGUUAGAGACCAAAGUUCUUCUAAGUAUCGAACAAUUCACAACACAGUCCAUAACAACUAGGAAUUAUCUCAUCCAAAAUGCUAAUACUGCUGAGGUUGAGGAAACCUGGUAUAAAGUAAAUUAUUAUAUGACAGGUGGUAAUAAAAUUCUUUUAAAGAAUAAUCACAUUCAAAAGAGUUAUUUCAGAAAAUUUAGCAUGGAAAAGUGCCAUGCAGAAAUGUAUUUUCUACCAAAUGAGCCUCUAUCGUAUUAUACAAUCUGCCUGGGUGUAUAAGUUUCAUACAUUUUUAAUACUGAAAUUUAAAUGCACAAGUUUUAAGGAAAUGUAAAACAAGUCCACUGACCUUAAUUUUUAUCUUCUACUUUGCCAUUUCUAUAAAUUUUAGUCUAUAAACUUAUGCCUGGCCUCAAUUGACAUGAGGGCUACAAAGGCUAUGAACAGUUUCUUUUGAUAUUUAUACUUUGAAAUUAAAUGUAAGUGGUCUCAAAUUUGAUAAAGAAUUUAGCUUUAUCAAAUAAGAACUAUUACCUGGAAAAACCACCAGUUUCUCAGUCUCUUCUAACCACACUUCUUGUAACUAACUCAUAGAAACAAAAAUCUGCAUGUAUUUUGCAUUCUUAUGUCCGUUUUCUUGUGUCAUUUCACUCUUACUUUCUAAGUCCUCCACAAAAAAAAAAAAAAAAAAAGUGUGUGCCUGCCACUUUGCUAACUAUAGCUACUUCUACAUAAUUGCCACCAUUUGGGGUCAUCCUGUACUAUUCUCAAAACUGCUCUGUUGUGGUACCUUUGUCUGGAAUUCUGGAAUUAAAAUCUGCUGUGACUGUAAAUGUCAAAAUGGAAAUAUUUAAGAAAAAAGGAACAAACCAUUCUCAACAAAAAUGGGUCAAGAUAACACUGACACUCUCAAGUGGGUAAUUAAGUUAAUUUUCUGUAUCAUUCAAGCCCAAACUAUAAAUUUAAAUAAAACAUACAAUUAAACAUUAUUUAGCACAUUUUCUGUACAAAUAAUGUAUAAUAUGCUUCGCAGUAUAAUAAGAUAAUCAAUACACAGUCUUUCUCAACUCUAGAGGCAGAAUGCUGGUUUGAAAUCCAGAUUUAUGUUCAAGUCCAAAUUGUUUAACCUCUUCAAGCUUUAGUUUCAACAUUUGUAAAAUGGAAAUAGUCACAGUA